rnacentral:lncRNA from 1 species
GUUCCUUACUUUUGGUCAAGUGUCGAAUUCCAUCAGCCAUAGGGUCUAUUUAUACUUGUAGACUCCUUAAGGAUUACAGAUAAGUCCCUAUCAGAUAAUCUUCUCUUAAGGCUAUCCAAAUCCAUUCCUAAGAUAAUCAUAUGGACGAUUUUAGCUAUCCUAAAUCCCUUAGGAUUCGUCCAUACCAUAUCCAAAUGGAUUUACAGUCCAAAGUUUAACUAUCAAACAAUUGACAGUUUAUACCCCUUUAUUUAAUUAACCUCUUUAAGUCACCAAAUUAAUUCUAAUUAAUUCUAUGACUUAUAUUAAUCAAAUAACAAUAUAUCAUUCAUUAUAUUAUUCCCAUAAUAUAUUAAUAAUAUUUACUCUCUCUUAUUAAAUCAUCCUAUCAAGUUGCUAUGGUGAAGGCAACCCAAAAGGACCAUGCACAACCGGAUCAAAUACUUGCCUAAUAUAGUUACAGCCUUAGACACUAUUCCAACAGUCUCCCACUUGGAUAAGUCUAGUAACUAUACAAGUACAAUUCGGUUUGCAAUCGUAGCUCUCAAAGACGCUGUCAAACUCUGAUCUAAUCAAUCUUGUCCUUUAGAUAAGGGAACGUACAGUCCUCUGUUAGAUAUCAUGCUGACAAUCCUAUGGAAUGGUUAGUCAAGCAUUUAGGUUUCUCGAUCUCUGAUUUAUUUGACAUAGAACUUAAUCGAACACAUCAAUUCAGUUCUGACCGGGCCCGGCACAUAAGUCAAAUCAAAUCAUCGAGCGGCCGAGAUAUCGCUUUUACCUUCUUAGAUAAAAGUUACAGAUAAACUUCGACUUAUAUGCAUUUACUUAUUCAUUAACCAACUAUACACAACAAUACGUUUUAUAACACCGAGUUACUGAUGCGUUUUCGUAUUAUCAAUGUACAAUCAAUUAACAAAUAAUAAACCAUAUAUCUAGGUUUUAAGACUAUAUGAUAUUAUCGUCUUGCGAUCACCUUUUAUAUCGUAUUCCAUAAGGUGAUUCCAGCAAGCGCGGGUUUAUUCCAAUGCUCAAAACUAGUUCAUAAGCACUCAUGAACGUUGCAGCAAUCCUUUGCUAUGUCUAACACCAUUUAGACAUUCUACACACCAAUUCAUGACAAUCUUCUUUCAUAUCUACUCCCAACAUAUGAACGAUUGUGGACCAUUUGAAUAAUUCGAUUAUUCCUAAUAAACUCAAUUAUUCUGGAAGUCAAAACAUGCAAAGUGAAACAAUAGCUAAACAAUUAACAUAAGAUAGUAACAUUACUCAUAAAUAAAACUCCUUUAUUUAAUCAUCAAAUGUCAAUUACAUUUAUCUAUUACACGUUUCUAAUACUAUCUAAUCUAUGCUAAUAUCAUCCUUCAGCCCAAUACUCCUAGCAUGCUGCAAGUGCUUAACCCUACUCAGUCCCUUCGUAAGCGGAUCUGCUGGGUUAUCUUCUGAUGAUAUCCUCUUCACUACGAGUUGUCCUUCUUCUACACGAUGUCUAAUGAAGUGAUAUUUUCUGUCGAUAUGUCUUGAUCUACCAUGAUCCCUCGGUUCCUUGGUCAAGGCAACCGCACCUUCGUUAUCACAGAAAAUCUCCAUUGGCUCCUUUAUGGCAGGUACAACUCCAAGAUCACCGAUGAAGUUCUUUAGCCAUAUUGCCUCCUUCGACGCUUCGCUCGCUGCAAUGUACUCUGAUUCGCACGUUGAAUCAGCUACGGUUUCCUGCUUGGAACUCUUCCAUGUCACUGCUCCUCCAUUUAGGGUAAAGACCCAGCCCGACUGCGAACGGUAGUUGUCCCUGUCGGUCUGAAAACUGGCGUCACUAUACCCUCGCACCUUCAAGUCAUCACUCCCUCCGAGGACUAAGAACCAUUCCUUCGUCCUCCGAAGGUACUUAAGGAUAUUCUUCACCGCAAUCCAAUGUGCUUUGCCAGGAUUCCCUUGAUAUCUGCUAACCAUGCUCAAAGCGAAGGCUACAUCAGGGCGAGUACAAGUCAUAGCGUACAUGAUUGAGCCAACUGCGGAAGCGUAUGGUACUCGGCUCAUUUCUGCUAUCUCAGCUUCGGUACUCGGACUUUGAGUCUUACUCAAUUUGGCAUUACUUUGUAUCGGUAGUUCUCCCUUCUUUGAGUUUUCCAUACUAAAACGUUUUAGUACCUUCUCUAAGUAAGUAUUCUGACUAAGUCCAAUUAGUCUCUUACUUCUUUCUCUUACUAUCCUUAUUCCCAAAAUGUAAGAAGCCUCUCCGAGGUCCUUCAUAGCGAAGCACUUCCCGAGCCAGGACUUAACCUCCUGCAGAGUCGGGAUGUCGUUUCCUAUGAGUAAUAUGUCAUCGACAUAUAGAACGAGGAAGCUUACUAUACUCCCACUGGCUUUGACAUAUACACAAGAUUCGUCUUCGCUUCGUACAAAUCCAAACUCUUUGACUUUCUCAUCGAAGCAAAGAUUCCAUCUGCGAGACGCUUGCUUAAGUCCAUAAAUGGACUUCUCAAGCUUACACACUCUAUUCGGAUGCUUCGGAUCCACAAACCCCUCUGGCUGAGCCAUGUAAACAUCCUCAGCCAACUUUCCGUUAAGGAAAGCGGUCUUGACAUCCAUUUGCCAAAUCUCAUAAUCAUGAAAUGCGGCAAUUGCUAGCAUCACUCUAAUAGAUUUAAUCUUCGCAACUGGUGAGAAGGUCUCAUCAUAGUCAACUCCGGGAGUUUGAGUAAAGCCCUUCGCAACCAAUCGCGCUUUAUAUGUGUGUACGUUUCCAUCCACGUCGGUCUUCUUCUUGAAGAUCCAUUUGCACCCAACGGUCUUACGUCCGGGCACAUAAUCAACCAAAUUCCAAACUUGGUUAUCAUACAUGGAUUGGAUCUCGCUAUCCAUUGCCUCUUUCCAUUUUGCAGACUCCGGGCCUGCCAUGGCUUCCUUAUAGCUAUUAGGUUCAUCAAGAUUUAUUAGUGUACCAUCACUAAUAUACGUGUCCCCUUCGGUAGUAAUAUGAAAACCAUAAAACUGGGGUUGAACUCUAACUCUAUCGGAACGUCUAAGAGGUAAGGAUUCGUCAAUCGGUUCAACCGGAGUUUCCUCCUCGGGUUGAGUGCCAGCGGUAGAGGUUCCUUCAUCUAUCGACUCUUGAAUCUCUUCAAGCUCGAUUUGCCUCCCACUGUCUCCUUGGCUUAUGAGUUCUCGCUCUCGGAAAACUCCUCUCCUCGCAACGAAGACAACAUUGUCCUUCGGUCUAUAGAAGAGAUAUCCAAAGGAUGUCUGCGGGUAGCCGAUGAAAAUACAUCGCUCACUUCGAGGUUCAAGCUUGUCGUGAGUAUCUCGUCUUACGAAAGCCUCGCAACCCCAAACCUUGAUAUGUGCCAACGAGGGAGCUUUCCCUGUCCACAUCUCGUGAGGUGUUUUGGCAACCUUCUUAGUAGGGACUCGGUUAAGGAUAUGGGCGGCAGUCUCUAAGGCAUACCCCCAAAAAGAGAUAGGUAGUGAAGCACGACUCAUCAUAGAGCGAACCAUAUCCAAUAAGGUUCGAUUACGCCUUUCUGCCACACCAUUCAACUGCGGUGUCCUAGGAGGCGUCAAUUGCGAAACUAUUCCACACUCCUUGAGAUAAUCGUGGAAUUCAAGACUUAGGUACUCUCCUCCUCGAUCGGAUCGAAGCAUCUUGAUUUUCCUGCCCAAUUGAUUCUCCACUUCAUUCUUGAACUCUUUGAACUUUUCAAAGGUGUCUGACUUUUGCUUGAUUAAGUAGAUAUACCCAUAUCUACUAUAGUCAUCGGUAAAAGUCACAUAGAAGCGGUUCCCAUCCUUCGUGGUUGAUCUAAACGGUCCACAUACAUCGGUAUGUAUUAGGUCCAAUAGACCCUCGCCCCUUUCACAUGUACUCGUGAAGGGUGACUUAGUCAUCUUUCCAAGCAAACAAGACUCGCAUGUGUCAUCUUCCCUAAGGUCGAAUGACUCCAACACUCCAUCCUUUUGGAGUUGGGCUAUGCGUUUCUUGUUGACAUGUCCAAGACGACAAUGCCACAAGGAUGCUUUAUCCAUACUAGUGGAAGAAUCAAUAUUCAAAACAUCAUUUCCUAAGUUAUCAACAAUCAUAACGGUUUCAUAUAUUCCAUUACAUGGUAUAGCUUCAAAGUAAAAGACACCAUUUAGAUAAGCCAAAAUAGAACCAUUCUCAUUAUUAAAAGAAAAUCUAAAUCCUUGUCUAUAUAAACCAUGAAAUGAAAUGAUGUUUCUUGCCAUUUCUGGCGAAUAGCAACAAUUGUUCAAAUCUAAAACUAAACUAUUCCUAAGCACUAAGGAAUACACUCCAAUCUUGGUCACAGGCGACGAUCUUCUGUUCCCCAUGAUUAGAUUGAUCCUUCCUUGCUCCACAUCCCUACUUCUUCUUAGUCCCUGCACAUUAGAACAAAUGUGAUAACCACAACCGGUAUCAAGAACCCAAGAAAUAGCAUGAUUAGAAUCGUUAGAUUUGAUUGUAUAUAUACCUGCGAAAGAUGGCUUGAUCUUUCCUUCUUUGAUUGCUUGCAGGUAAUCCGGGCAGCUUCUCUUCCAAUGUCCUAUCUUGUGGCAGUGGUGGCACUCUGCCUCCUUCGGGUUAGAGCAGGGCUUGGCGGGAUCAACUUUGGUCCCACUAGAAGAGGCACCAUCUCGGGCUUUCACCUUGCGAUAGUUCUUCGAUGAAGCUUUCCUCUUCUUUCCCUUCCCUUGUCCAAUAGCCAAGACAGGAGCAGCGGGCGGAUUGGGAGUAGGUGCAACAGACUUGUCUUUGAAGUUGCUCUCAGCAACCCUCAAGAGACCUUGGAGCUUGCUUAGGGUGACCUCUUCUUUGUUCAUGUGGUAGGUCAUCCUAAAUUGGUUGUACAUCGGAGGCAAAGAGUGAAGCACCAUGUCGAUCGCCAAGUCUUCACCGAAGUCAACAUUUAACUUGCGAAGGCGGUCAACAUACCUUUGCAUCUUUUGCAAGUGCACGGUAAGAGAUUCUCCAUGACCCAUCUUCGCGGAAAUCAUGUUAGUGAAAAUCUCGUACCUCUCUUGUCUCGCGUUUUGGUGGUACCUCUCCAAUAAGUCUUGAUGCAUCUCGUACGGGUACAUGUCCUCGUAGGACUUUUGGAAUUCGGAGUUCAUGGUGGCGAUCAUGAUGCAAUGUACCUUCGUUGCAUCUCGCUCAUGAGUUUCAAAGGCGGUGAUUUCGGCGGGAGUAGCAAUUUCGGGGUUGAUUUUCUCGAGCUUCUCAUCGAGGACAUACUCCUUAUCCUCAUAGCGAGCAAUGGUGCGAAUGUAUCUUAUCCAUUCGCUAAAGUUCGUUCCAUCGAAGGUGACCUUUUGGCAAAGGCUCAUCAACGUGAAAGAACUAGCAGCAACAUUGUUUGCGUUCGACAUCUAUAAUUAGAAAAGGACAAAGAUAGAUUAGAAUAUGAAUCCCUAAUUAUCACCCAAUAAGAAAAGUUAGGGCUAGGAUCCAACAAUGACAUUUACAUGUUAGAAAAGGGAUGCCGUAAUCUAACAUGCAUAUCAAUUGAAGGUAAGUGAAUGAUUCACCCAAUAAGAAAAGUUAGGGCUAGGAUCCAACAAUGACAUUUACAUGUUAGAAAAGGGAUGCCGUAAUCUAACAUGCAUAUCAAUUGAAGGUAAGUGAAUGAUGAUUCACUAAUUCUUCAUCACAAAAACCUAAACUAUUAGUCCUAAGUGUUUUUGAGAAUUCCUAGGUUCGGAUGAGAUUCAUUGAAACUAUUCAAUGGCAUGUUUAAAUCUCGAUAUGCCCCUCUUGUUUGUGACUGGGAUGCCGAGGAUCACAAAGCGGGUGUGAAUUACCAUGCAAAUUCACAUGGUGCCUUCAUUGUAACGAUCACCUAUUCGAUGUGCCGGUAAACCACACACGCUCCAUCGAACUAUGAUAAACAAUGAAUCACCCUUUGCCACCUUCGCUUAGAACCAAUUAGUGUGCCGGUAAACCAUACACGCUCCACUAACUUCUUAGCAAGGUGCAAAGUGUAAUUUCAUGGGAUUGCAUCAAUUCACUUUUCCUAAAGUAACUAAGAUUGGGAAAUUUUAAAAUAUGUGUAGUUACUUUAUAUUUCUUAUUAUACUUUUAAUGAGAGGAUGAGGUUGCCCUAUCCUACCCGUUCGGCUAACGACCCUCCACCAAUCAAGCAAGCGGUGGGUGUGAGUGUACACCCAUUAAGCGCCAUUUUAUAGGCCGCAACCUUAUACCCACCUUAUAGAUCGGCUUCGUGAAUGAGGCCUACUAACGGUAAGACUAGCAUUUAGUUAUACAUAUAUAUAUAUUAUACUAGUAAUAUCAUAUUUGUAUAGGGUUGUAUUUUAAACCUUUUAAAAUCUAGGGUUUUGAAAUUUAAGUUGUCUAAAUUAAAACUUUUAAUCAUAAAUAUAAAUUUCAAAACUUGAGGGCAAGUUUUAAACAUUUAAAACAUGGAGGAUCAAAUAACAAAUAAUUCCAAUUAACAAUUAAUAUCCUAAUUAUCUAUAUUUGAUUUAUUCAAGAUUUCUUUUAAGAUAAUUACCAAAAUAAUCAAAAUAAUUAAUUAAUUAUCAUAUAAGGAAAUUAAAUAUUUUAUUAGUUGAUAAAUACCUUUAACUAGAUCAAGAUAAUAGUCAUAUAUAUCAAAAAAUCGGAUUUAGAUUGAUCUAUUAUGAUUAAGGUAAGUUUCCAUAAGAUAAUUAUGAAAAAAUCCCGAAUCUGGCCAUUCCUGACGCCUGGACUCGCCGAGUGCACAAGGGGACUCGCCGAGUCAGGCCUACUCGCCGAGUCCACUUUGGGACUCGCCGAGUCCAUGACUCAGAAACCAAAAAUCGAAUUUUGCAGGUUUGUUUCAGUUAAUCAAGCAACAAUUUAAAGAAAACCAAGCUAGGCUCUGAUACCACUGAUGGGUUUUAGCCAUAAGAACUUUCCUAUGUGCGCAUGCAAAACCCUAAUGCUCGGAUCUAGGCUUUCAAAUAAACAUGCUUUGAAUCCAAGACUUCUAAUUACUAAUUAGGCUAAAUAACAACAUUGAAACAGAUCUAGAAUCAUACCUUUGAAUUCCUUGUUGACCUUGUUGUCUUGGAGCUUCUAGAGUCACAAAUGUCACUCCUCUAAUGGCUUACAAACACCAAUAGCAAGGAGGAUGAUUUAGGAGAGAGGAGAGGGGAGGAAUUUGACCAGAGGUUCCUUACUUUUGGUCAAGUGUCGAAUUCCAUCAGCCAUAGGGUCUAUUUAUACUUGUAGACUCCUUAAGGAUUACAGAUAAGUCCCUAUCAGAUAAUCUUCUCUUAAGGCUAUCCAAAUCCAUUCCUAAGAUAAUCAUAUGGACGAUUUUAGCUAUCCUAAAUCCCUUAGAAUUCGUCCAUACCAUAUCCAAAUGGAUUUACAGUCCAAAGUUUAACUAUCAAACAAUUGACAGUUUAUACCCCUUUAUUUAAUUAACCUCUUUAAGUCACCAAAUUAAUUCUAAUUAAUUCUAUGACUUAUAUUAAUCAAAUAACAAUAUAUUAUUCAUUAUAUUAUUCCCAUAAUAUAUUAAUAAU